rnacentral:rRNA from 1 species
GACGAACGCUGGCGGCGUGCUUAACACAUGCAAGUCGAACGGAAAGGCCCUGCUUUUGUGGGGUGCUUGAGUGGCGAACGGGUGAGUAACACGUGAGUAACCUGCCCUUGACUUUGGGAUAACUUCAGGAAACUGGGGCUAAUACCGGAUAGGAGCUCCUGCUGCAUGGUGGGGGUUGGAAAGUUUCGGCGGUUGGGGAUGGACUCGCGGCUUAUCAGCUUGUUGGUGGGGUAGUGGCUUACCAAGGCUUUGACGGGUAGCCGGCCUGAGAGGGUGACCGGCGACAUUGGGACUGAGAUACGGCCCAGACUCGUGCGGGAGGCAGCAGUGGGGAAUAUUGCACAAUGGGCGGAAGCCUGAUGCAGCAACGCCGCGUGCUGAAUAACUGCCUUCGGGUUGUAAACCGCUUUCGCCUGUGACGAAGCGUGAGUGACGGUAAUGUGUAAAGAAGCACCGGCUAACUACGUG